GAUGAACGCUGGCGGCGUGCCUAAUACAUGCAAGUCGAGCGAACGGACGAGAAGCUUGCUUCUCUGAUGUUAGCGGCGGACGGGUGAGUAACACGUGGAUAACCUACCUAUAGGACUGGGAUAACUUCGGGAAACCGGAGCUAAUACCGGAUAAUAUUUUGAACCGCAUGGUUCAAAAGUGAAAGACGGUCUUGCUGUCACUUAUAGAUGGAUCCGCGCUGCAUUAGCUAGUUGGUAAGGUAACGGCUUACCAAGGCAACGAUGCAUAGCCGACCUGAGAGGGUGAUCGGCCACACUGGAACUGAGACACGGUCCAGACUCCUACGGGAGGCAGCAGUAGGGAAUCUUCCGCAAUGGGCGAAAGCCUGACGGAGCAACGCCGCGUGAGUGAUGAAGGUCUUCGGAUCGUAAAACUCUGUUAUUAGGGAAGAACAUAUGUGUAAGUAACUGUGCACAUCUUGACGGCACCUAAUCAGAAAGCCACGGCUAACUACGUG
rnacentral:rRNA from 1 species